rnacentral:lncRNA from 1 species
CACCUCAUCCGCGAUGAGGAGCACCCCCUCGUCCUUGCAAAACUGCACAAUCUCCUUCUGGUUGUCGACGUUCAGGGCGUUGCCGGUGGGGUUGCCCGGGUUGAUCACGCACAGCGCGCGGACCUCCUUACCCGCCGCCCUGGCCUUGUCCAGCUGCACCUUGAGGUCGGCGACGUCGAGGCCCCACUCUUUGUCCUCGUCGAGGUAAUAGGGCACGAGGGUGCCGCCGUACAGAGCGAGCGAGGCGGAGUAGAGCGGGUACUGGGGGAUGGGAACCAUGACCGCAUCGUUGCCGUCGCGAAUCAGGGUUUUCAUGAUGUGGUGGCACGCGACGGAGGCGCCGUCGGUGAGCCAGAGGUCCUCGAUGUCGCACUUGUGCCCCCCAUCCCUUGCCUCGAUGCCGUCAGCGACCAUCUGGCGGAGCGCGGCGACCCCCUUGGACUCUGAGUAGGCGCCGGUGCCGCCCUUCAUGUUCCCUAGGAUGUGUUUGGCCGUGGAGAUGACGUCGGAGGGAAAGAGCUUCCCAGCCUCGGGCGCGUCCAUGAGCUGGGG